rnacentral:rRNA from 1 species
AUGCGAGAGAGAAAAGCUGUCUCGCACGUAUGCUGCUGCUGCUGCUGGCCAGGAAGGGGAGGAAGUUCAGACCCACCGGGACUGGAAGCAUACUUGAUGCGGUGCCGCCAGGGCCGAUGCGACCGCGGGACGGCGACGGUCUUCCGGCGGACAGCGGUGCCGCCAAAACGGCUACGAGGCGCUGCGGCCCCGUCCUCUACGACGGCGGCGAGCGAGCCUGAUACCGGAGCCGACCGACGAGAGCGGUCGCGGCGGGGCCGUCCACCGGCGGCUGCAACGGGCGACCGGUUUUAUUCCGAGCUACGGCGCUGA